AAGCGGCGGCAGCGCGAGGCCCACAGGAGGAAGAGCCUGGCCGGGAUGCGCCGCGACGGCGACAGCGACGCCGAGGACCCUGGCGCGCCGGAGCCGCCGGAGGCCGCGGCCUCCUCGUCGGACGGCAGCGACGCCGAGUACUACCGGCAGGAGCUGGGAGAGGAGCCGGACGCGGAUCUGUUCCCGAGGAAGAGCGGCCGGCGGCAGCGGGACGGCGCGGGCUCCGCUCCGCCGAGGA